CCUACGGGAGGCAGCAGUGGGGGAUAUUGCACAAUGGGGGGAACCCUGAUGCAGCGACGCCGCGUGGGUGAAGAAGCGCCUCGGCGCGUAAAGCCCUGUCAGCAGGGAAGAAAAUGACGGUACCUGAAGCAGAAGCCCCGGCUAACUACUUGCAAGCAGCCGCGGUAAUACUGAGGGGGCAAGCGGUCUCCGGAUGUACGGGGGGUAAAGGGGGCGCAGACGGCGAUGCAAGCCAGGAGGGAAAGCCCGGGGGCCAACCCCGGGACUGCUAUUGGAACUGCGUGGCUGGAGUGCAGGAGGGGCAGGCGGAAGUCCUGGUGUAGCGGUGAAAUGCGUAGAUAUCAGGAGGAACACCGGUGGCGAAGGCGGCCUGCUGGACUGCAACUGACGUUGAGGCCCGAAAGCGUGGGGAGCAAACAGGAUUAGAUACCCGGGUAGUC
rnacentral:rRNA from 1 species